GACAGAGGGGGCAAGCGUUGCUCGGAAUUACUGGGCGUAAAGGGCGCGUAGGCGGGAUGGCAAGUCGGUCGUGAAAUCCUUCGGCUCAACCGAAGAACGUCGAUCGAUACUGCUGUUCUUGAGGGUUGCAGAGGAGACUGGAAUUCCCGGUGUAGCGGUGAAAUGUGUAGAGAUCGGGAGGAACACCGGUGGCGAAGGCGGCCCCCUGGUUGGAUACUGACGCUGAGACGCGAAAGCGUGGGGAGCAAACAGG
rnacentral:rRNA from 1 species